GCUUGACUUCCUGCUGCCGUUCCGUCUGACAUCAACAGCAUACUCACGUUACUCCAGGACUGGAGAGUCACUAUGAGCUGUGUGUGGAAGCUAGGCUAACAAGCUGAGCCAACUUAGCGCCCUUGGAAGCGGAAGGAGGAACUCGCAUGGCUGCGGUGGUUGUGACCCCGAGAUGCAGGAACCAGGAGAGGGAUGAUCAGAAAUGGCAACAGCGGAGGAUGAACGUCACAUAACAAGAAGAUUGACUACAAAGGCGGACGCGCACAAAUUUUCAGGACGUAUGCAGAUCCCAAAUACACAUCAACAGGUACCAAAAGUGCAGGAUCCCCCUGAGGCCGGCACUGGUGCACACAUCCAUUGGAGAGCUGUCAUUGCAGCCUGUGUUCCUGACUCUCCUGUGUCAGGUGGUCUCAUGUCUUGCCUGAGGCAUGGAAGCAUGAGAAGGUGGGGCUUGGUCAAAGAUGAUGCUGAUACAGGCAGACUCCAGGCUCUCACCCGCUUCCCUUCUAUGGAGGUGUGAUUGGACCUCAUGCAGAGCAACACAAGGCUAACACGACCACCAGGCUCAUUAACGCAUUAACAGUCCCAGCCCAAACAAGCGCUCAUAGCAGUUUGUUGAGGCAAGGUACACAUUCACACACGAACAGAGCAGAGUUGCGCUGUCAAACCCCCCUGAGGCCCGGUAAUUAGACCAAUGUAAAUGACUGUCGCCUGAAUCACCUCCUUUAAAUACUGCUCAUGGAGUCAACACAGGCAAAGCGCUCAAAGUGGCUAAUGUGGACGCAAUAAACUACUAAAAAGUUUUUUUUUUAAAUUAACUUCAGUUAGUCAUAAUUGACGGUCGACCACAUUU